rnacentral:lncRNA from 1 species
UUUAUAAGUUACUGGACCAAUAUAAUCGAUUGUCAAAACCAGACAAUCGAUUAUUUUGGUUUGGAUAAAAAAAAUUUUAAGUUUCUGGACCAUUACAAUUGAUUGUUUACAAUAGAUAAUCGAUUGUAUGGUAUAAUUAAAAAACGUUUCAACUCACUGGACCAGGUGUUCCAAAAAACUGCCAGAAUUUUAAACGUCAAAGACAAUCGAUUGUGUAAGGAAACAAU